rnacentral:rRNA from 1 species
UACGGAGGAUGCAAGCGUUAUCCGGAAUGAUUGGGCGUAAAGCGUCCGCAGGUGGCGAUGUAAGUCUGCUGUUAAAGAGUCUAGCUCAACUAGAUAAGAGCAGUGGAAACUACAUAGCUAGAGUACGUUCGGGGCAGAGGGAAUUCCUGGUGUAGCGGUGAAAUGCGUAGAGAUCAGGAAGAACACCGGUGGCGAAGGCGCUCUGCUAGGCCGUAACUGACACUGAGGGACGAAAGCUAGGGGAGCGAAUGGG